rnacentral:rRNA from 1 species
AGGAACCUUCGAUUGAGGGUUAGUGGCGAACGGGUGAGUAAUACAUGGGUGACCUGCCCUGAAGAGGGGGAUAACCACUGGAAACGGUGGCUAAUACCUCAUGUGAUCGCGAGGGUUAGAGGCCUGGCGAUUAAAGCUCCGGUGCUUCGGGAGGGGCCCAUGGCCUAUCAGCUAGUUGGUAGGGUAACGGCCUACCAAGGCGAUGACGGGUAGCUGGUCUGAGAGGACGAUCAGCCGCACUGGCACUGAGACACGGGCCAGACUCCUACGGGAGGCAGCAGUGAGGAAUAUUGGGCAAUGGGCGAAAGCUUGACCCAGCAACGCCGCGUGAGCGAAGAAGGCCUUCGGGUUGUAAAGCUCUUUUCUGGGAGACGAGGAAGGACGGUAUCCCAGGAAUAAGCCUCGGCUAACUACGCGCCAGCAGCCGCGGUAAAACGUAGGAGACAAGCGUUAUCCGGAUUUAUUGGGCGUAAAGCGCGUGCAGGCGGUUUGGUAAGUUGGGUGUGAAAUCUCUUGGCUCAACUGGGAGGCGUCAUUCAAUACUGCCAGACUUGAGGACGGAAGAGGGGAGUGGAAUUUCCGGUGUAGUGGUGAAAUGCGUAGAUAUCGGAAGGAACACCAGUGGCGAAGGCGGCUCCCUAGUCCGUGCCUGACGCUGAGACGCGAAAGCUAGGGGAGCGAAUGGGAUUAGAGACCCCAGUAGUCCUAGCUGUAAACGGUGGAUACUAGGUGUAGGGAGUAUUGACCCUCUCUGUGCCGAAGCUAACGCGUUAAGUAUCCCGCCUGAGGACUACGGCCGCAAGGCUAAAACUCAAAGGAAUUGACGGGGCCCUGCACAAACAGCGGAGCGUGUGGUUUAAUUCGAUGCGACACGAAGAACCUUACCAGGGUUUGACAUGCAGGUAGUAGUGAAGCGAAAGCGGAACGAUCCUUCGGGAAGCCUGCACAGGUGCUGCAUGGCUGUCGUCAGCUCGUGCCGUGAGGUGUUAGGUUAAGUCCUGUAACGAGCGCAACCCUUGCCGUUAGUUACACGUGUCUUAACGGGACUGCCGGUGCAAACCGGAGGAAGGUGGGGAUGGUGUCA